GCCCGGAUCGCACAACCUGGUAGUGCACUAGCCUGCUAAGCUAGGGAGCCUUUUGGCUCUUGCGGGUUCAAAUCCCGCUCCGGGCG
rnacentral:tRNA from 1 species